ACAUUGGGAGUUAGGUUUCAGCAUAGGAGUUUUUAGGGCAUGGAGAGGCACAAACAUCCAGACAAGCAUUUACCUUCUGCUGAAAUUGUCUCAGUGUUUGCCUCUCCUAAUGGAAUAUGGGCCACAUGUACAGCAAGGGCUCAGCAAAUGCUUGCUGAACAAACAAGUUUGAGGCAGGUUUCUAACUCAGGUAGAUCGUUUCAUCCUCUUCAUCUCCCAGCAACCAAGAAAACCAGCCUAUUGCCAUGGGGGGGUCCUCCAACCCUGGCUAUUCUCCAAUGCUAAAGACUGACAGAUAAUCUCAAUUAGCAAAUUGACCCUUGUGGAUUUUCUGCACUCAUAGCAAAUGUCUUCAGGAAAACUGAAUUUCUCUCCAUACCUGGAUUAAUUUUCAGUAAUGGAAUGACUGGGUCAAAGGAGAUCAACAUUGCUGUGGCUCUUUCAGGUUCUCUUAAAUUCCAUGGAUUUUAACUUUGGCCCAUGACCUCCUUGACCUCUGGAAAUGUGACAUCCUGCACCUGCUGCAUCAGGGCUCUUCCCUGGUCUUGCCUACACUUGUGUCUACACAGAUGCCUCUUCCUGUCCAUAUCACUUGCUUCUGCAUAAAGUGGGUGCAGAAGAUAAUGAGACGGAUUUGACCGCGGUGAACAGGCAGGCACACAAGAUGGAGCAGGCCCUGGUGAUAAACCCCAAUUCAAGUGAGAGGAAGUAUGAGGAACCAGAUUGGAAGAUGGAGUCCAGUGCCCAGAGAUCAUGGUCCAGGCAGGAUUGAAGAUCAAAGUUUGAAGUUGACUUCUAGGCCCCAUCCUGGUACAUUCUGGAUGAAUUUUGGGGUUGGAAGAUGGAGGACCUAUACAUUUUGAGGGAAAUAAGAAGGAUAAUAGGAGUCAGUGAAGAAGUGGUCAGCACCAAAGGAGGAGAGCGUUUAAAGGAAAAGAGCUUGAUAAACCAGAGGGAUAGUCUGAGAGAGAAACUGAAGGUCAAAAUCAACGCAGUGGUGCCGAACAGAAGGGCCCGAGGUGCGAUGAGUAUAAUAUGAACACGAAGGAAAACAGCGAGUUCAGAAGCCUGGAGAAUCAGAAGCAGGUCAAGCGCUGGGGUUCAGGGCAAAGACCCUGAACACUGUGAAGGUGUUGGAGACCUGUUUUGAGGUGGCACUGCGGCUCAAUGUGAGUGCAGACCUGAGAGAUUAAAGUGCCUACGAAGGGCCAAAUACCUGUCCCUUCAUGACAUGA
ensembl:lncRNA LINC02548 long intergenic non-protein coding RNA 2548